CGCUUCUUUUUCCACCGGAGCUUGCUCCACCGGAAAAAGAGGAGUGGCGAACGGGUGAGUAACACGUGGGUAACCUGCCCAUCAGAAGGGGAUAACACUUGGAAACAGGUGCUAAUACCGUAUAACAAUCGAAACCGCAUGGUUUUGAUUUGAAAGGCGCUUUCGGGUGUCGCUGAUGGAUGGACCCGCGGUGCAUUAGCUAGUUGGUGAGGUAACGGCUCACCAAGGCGACGAUGCAUAGCCGACCUGAGAGGGUGAUCGGCCACAUUGGGACUGAGACACGGCCCAAACUCCUACGGGAGGCAGCAGUAGGGAAUCUUCGGCAAUGGACGAAAGUCUGACCGAGCAACGCCGCGUGAGUGAAGAAGGUUUUCGGAUCGUAAAACUCUGUUGUUAGAGAAGAACAAGGAUGAGAGUAACUGUUCAUCCCUUGACGGUAUCUAACCAGAAAGCCACGGCUAACUACGUGCCAGCAGCCGCGGUAAUACGUAGGUGGCAAGCGUUGUCCGGAUUUAUUGGGCGUAAAGCGAGCGCAGGCGGUUUCUUAAGUCUGAUGUGAAAGCCCCCGGCUCAACCGGGGAGGGUCAUUGGAAACUGGGAGACUUGAGUGCAGAAGAGGAGAGUGGAAUUCCAUGUGUAGCGGUGAAAUGCGUAGAUAUAUGGAGGAACACCAGUGGCGAA
rnacentral:rRNA from 1 species